UACGGGGGGUGCGAGCGUUGUUCGGAAUUACUGGGCGUAUAGGGUGCGUAGGCGGCUUUCUAAGUUGGAUGUGAAAACUCUGGGCUCAACCCAGAGACUACAUCCAAAACUGGAGAGCUUGGGUUCUGGAGGGGAAAGCGGAAUUCCUGGUGUAGCGGUGAAAUGCGUAGAUAUCGUAAGGAAGACCAGUGGCGAAGGCGGGUCUCUGGACAGUUCCUGACGCUGAGUGCGCGAAAGCCAGGGGAGCAAACGGG
rnacentral:rRNA from 1 species